GUAGGUGAACCUGCGGAAGGAUCAUUAACACGUAUCCAACGUUAAACAACCCUGUGAACCUUGAACGUGCUCUCGUACACGCUCUAGCAGCAAUCCCUGGUAAAUCAUUGUUGACCAGCUAUUGAGUCUGGGACUUCUGCUAGAAAACCAUACGAUACGAGCGCCAGAGUAAGCGCGGCCUGGCAUCCUAUCAAUCUGUCAGUGGUUGCGCAAGAAUGGCGCAGUAAACGAUCGCUGUAGGCCCACACGUUCGGCACCUAACGACACCAGUUUUCUGACCCGGUGCGCUGUAACAACCGCACCACAAACUCGAACAACUGUUAACAAUGGAUAUCUUGGUUCUU
rnacentral:misc_RNA from 1 species